GUGGGGAAUUUUGGACAAUGGGCGCAAGCCUGUUCCAGCAAUGCCGCGUGCAGGAAGAAGGCCUUCGGGUUGUAAACUGCUUUUGUACGGAACGAAACGGUCCGGGUUAAUACCCUGGGCUAAUGACGGUACCGUAAGAAUAAGCACCGGCUAACUACGUGCCAGCAGCCGCGGUAAUACGUAGGGUGCAAGCGUUAAUCGGAAUUACUGGGCGUAACGCGUGCGCAGGCGGUUUUGUAAGACAGGCGUGAAAUCCCCGGGCUAAACCUGGGAACUGCGUUUGUGACUGGUGGGCUUGAGUGCGGCAGAGGGGGGUGGAAUUCCACGUGUAGCAGUGAAAUGCGUAGAGAUGUGGAGGAACACCGAUGGCGAAGGCAGCCCCCUGGGCCUGCACUGACGCUCAUGCACGAAAGCGUGGGGAGCAAACAGGAUUAGAUACCCGGGUAGUCC
rnacentral:rRNA from 1 species